CAUUUUUGUGGAGGCGUUAAUCCACAGGAUGAGUUUGGUCGCUCAUCUGUCAAACGGGCAGAGAAAUUCUGUGGGGAGUCAAUAGCGAAACCGGUCCUGAGGAUG
rnacentral:ncRNA from 18 species